UACGUAGGGGGCAAGCGUUGUCCGGAUUUAUUGGGCGUAAAGAGCGUGUAGGCGGCCAGGUAAGUCUGCUGUGAAAACUCGAGGCUUAACCUCGAGAUGUCGGCGGAAACCAUCUGGCUAGAGUCCGGAAGAGGAGAGUGGAAUUCCUGGUGUAGCGGUGAAAUGCGCAGAUAUCAGGAAGAACACCCGUGGCGAAGGCGGCUCUCUGGGACGGUACUGACGCUGAGACGCGAAAGCGUGGGGAGCGAACAGG
rnacentral:rRNA from 1 species